AGAGUUUGAUCCUGGCUCAGAAUCAACGCUGGCGGCGUGCCUAACACAUGCAAGUCGCACGAGAAAGGGGAGCAAUCCCUGAGUAAAGUGGCGCACGGGUGAGUAACACGUGACUAACCUACCUCCGAGUGGGGAAUAACUGAGAGAAAUCUUAGCUAAUACCGCAUAACACUUACGAGUCAAAGCAGCAAUGCGCUUGGAGAGGGGGUCGCGGCAGAUUAGUUAGUUGGCGGGGUAAUGGCCCACCAAGACGAUGAUCUGUAUCCGGCCUGAGAGGGCGCACGGACACACUGGAACUGAAACACGGUCCAGACUCCUACGGGAGGCAGCAGUGGGGAAUUUUGCGCAAUGGGGGAAACCCUGACGCAGCAACGCCGCGUGGAGGAUGAAAUAUCUUGGUAUGUAAACUCCUUUCGAUGGGGAAGAUUAUGACGGUACCCAUAGAAGAAGCCCCGGCUAACUUCGUGCCAGCAGCCGCGGUAAUACGAGGGGGGCAAGCGUUGUUCGGAUUUAUUGGGCGUAAAGGGUGCGUAGGCGGUUUGGCAAGUCUGAUGUGAAAUCUAUGGGCUCAACCCAUAGUCUGCAUCAGAAACUGCCGGGCUUGAGUAUGGGAGAGGUGAGUGGAAUUUCCGGUGUAGCGGUGAAAUGCGUAGAUAUCGGAAGGAACACCUGUGGCGAAAGCGGCUCACUGGACCAUAACUGACGCUGAUGCACGAAAGCUAGGGGAGCAAACAGGAUUAGAUACCCUAGUAGUCC
rnacentral:rRNA from 1 species